rnacentral:lncRNA from 1 species
UUUUUUUUCUUUGGAUCUUGCUUUGUGGAUUAGAUAACAAAUAUUGGUGUUUGAUUAUGUUUGAUAAUAUCUGCUUUUUUUAAUACAAUUUCUAGAAGUAUCUGUAACCCCUCUUAAGCCAUAAGUAGAAAGUUAAUAUGCUUCAGCGCACAAAAACUUACGUGUCUUCCUGCAUUGGCAAUUGAGUUUGUAAUAACCAAUUUUUGCCCGAUCCACUAAGAAAACAAACAAAAAAAUAAAGUCUCAAAAUUACAACAAACAAAACCAGGCCUAAAAUUAAACAAACCCAAUAGGCCCAAAAAUUUAAAAAAAAAACUUAGCCCAAAUAGCAUUAACAUUUACAGCAGAAAGGAGCAAACCCUAGCCCCCAAGCGUCCAGCGCCGCAAGAACCAAGCUCCCUCACGCACACCACCACCGCUGCUAGCCAAUCGUUGGCCUUCCACGCGCGUCAGACCUCUUGCAAAGAGAAAUCAAUGCAAGACGGUAGAAACAAUAACAAAACGACAAAAAAAUAUAACUUAUGAGUCUUGUAACUUGGCUAUAACAGCCGAAGUAUCCUCUUUGUAACUUUUUUACACACACUAGAAAUCAAAAGCCGAAUAGAAAUCUUAAAAGGUUGACCCUUUACUAUUUCUACUUUGUUUUCUUGUUUUUCUUUUCUUUUCUUUAUCUAUUUUAUUUUAUUUUAUUUUUUACAAAUCCAUUUUAAAUAAUUAUAAUAAAAAUCAAAAUAAAGAAAAGGAAAGGAAAACCUUACCUGGAACCGCCGCGUGGCCCCGUCGACGGAGGUCCCUUCGCCGUCGUCGGAGUCGAGCUAAAAGGGGUGGUUAGAUUCCUCCUUUUUCUUUCGGCCUCUCAUCACCGGUACCGUCCACCGGACUUAAAAGGGGGUUAAAAGCCCCGUCUUUCGCCACUGCCCGUCGACCAUGGCGGCGGAGCUGUCUGCUAAUCAGAGAAAGUGAGGGGAGAGUAGAGAAAAUGAGAGUUUUAGGGUUUUUUUUUUAGGUUUUAAAAAAAUUUGAUUUUAUAAGACAUUGAAAAGGCGUCGUUUCAGCAGGCCUCCCCAG